rnacentral:rRNA from 1 species
GACGAACGCUGGCGGCGUGCUUAACACAUGCAAGUCGAACGGAAAGGCCCUGCGUUUGUGGGGUGCUCGAGUGGCGAACGGGGGAGUAACACGUGAGUAACCUGCCCUUGUCUUUGGGAUAACUUCAGGAAACAGGGGCUAAUACCGGAUAGGAUCUCCUGCUGCAUGGGGGGGGUUGGAAAGAUUCGGCUGUUUGGGCUGGACUCGCGGCUUAUCAGCUGGUUGGUCAAGUAGGCACAGCCCAAGGCUAUGACGGGUAGCCGGCCUUGGAGGGGGGACGGGCUCCAUGGUCCUACGGUACGCACCAGUAGGCUACGUGCGGCAGCAGUCGGGAGUCUUACGCAACGGGCGCGCGCCUGAUGCGGCAACGCUGGGUGCGUAAUGCCGGGCUUCUAGUUGUGAACAGCUUUGGACUGUGCCGAAGACUGAGUGACGGUACUGGGUAAGGAAGCACCGGCUAACUACGUG